AUUGAACGCUGGCGGCGUGCUUAACACAUGCAAGUCGAACGCGAAAGGGACUUCGGUCCUGAGUAAAGUGGCGCACGGGUGAGUAACGCGUGGAUAAUCUGCCCUUAUGAUCGGGAUAACAGUUGGAAACGGCUGCUAAUACCGGAUACGCUCAAAAUGAACUUUUUGAGGAAAGAUGGCCUCUGCUUGCAUGCUAUCGCGUAAGGAUGAGUCCGCGUCCCAUUAGCUUGUGGCGGGUAACGGCCCACCAAGGCAACGAUGGGUAGCCAAUUUGAGAGGAUGAUCGGCCACACUGGAACUGAAACACGGUCCAGACUCCUACGGGAGGCAGCAGUGGGGAAUAUUGCGCAAUGGGCGAAAGCCUGACGCAGCGACGCCGCGUGAGGGAUGAAGGUUUUUCCGGAUCGUAAACCUCUGUCAGAAGGGAAGAAACUACAUUGUGCUAAUCAGCAGUGUACUGACGGUACCUUCAAAGGAAGCACCGGCUAACUCCGUGCCAGCAGCUGC
rnacentral:rRNA from 1 species